rnacentral:rRNA from 1 species
AGUGAACGCUGGCGGUAGGCCUAACACAUGCAAGUCGAACGGCAGCACAGUAAGAGCUUGCUCUUACGGGUGGCGAGUGGCGGACGGGUGUGGAAUACAUCGGAAUCUACUUUUUCGUGGGGGAUAACGUAGGGAAACUUACGCUAAUACCGCAUACGACCUACGGGUGAAAGCAGGGGAUCUUCGGACCUUGCGCGAUUGAAUGAGCCGAUGUCGGAUUAGCUAGUUGGCGGGGUAAAGGCCCACCAAGGCGACGAUCCGUAGCUGGUCUGAGAGGAUGAUCAGCCACACUGGAACUGAGACACGGUCCAGACUCCUACGGGAGGCAGCAGUGGGGAAUAUUGGACAAUGGGCGCAAGCCUGAUCCAGCCAUACCGCGUGGGUGAAGAAGGCCUUCGGGUUGUAAAGCCCUUUUGUUGGGAAAGAAAAGCAGCAGGUUAAUACCCCGCUGUUCCGACGGUACCCAAAGAAUAAGCACCGGCUAACUUCGUG